GAUGAAGAACGUAGCGAAAUGCGAUAAGUAAUGUGAAUUGCAGAAUUCAGUGAAUCAUCGGAUCUUUGAACGCACCUUGCGCCCUUUGGCCAUUCCGAAGGGCAUGCCUGUUUGAGUAUCAUGAACACCUCAACUCUCAUGGCUUGCCAUGAUGAGCUUGGACUUUGGGGGUCUUGCUGGCCUGCGGCCAGCUCCUCUCAAAUGAAUUAGCUUUCCAGUGUUUGGUUGGCAUCACAGGUGUGAUAACUAUCUACGCUUGUGGUUUCCACCAGGUAACCUUCAGUAACAUGGGGGUUUGCUGGAGCUCAUAAAUGUCUCUCCUCAGUGGGGACAGCUCUUUGAACGUUUGAUCUCAAAUCAGGUAGGACUACCCGCUGAACUUAAGCAUAUCAAUAAGCGGAGGA
rnacentral:misc_RNA from 1 species